GAGAGAGAGAGAGAGAGAGAGAGAGAGAGAGAGAGAGAGAGAGAGAGAGAGAGAAUCAUUUUCCAGUUAAAAUCCUUUUUCAGGUGUGCUCCUCUGACAUGACAUAUGACUCAACAGUGUAAACUGCAGUUGACUCUAGUUCUGUACUGUAAUCCCACUGCUGCUGGCUUCAUAAACAGUGUUGUAGAGCAUUCAGUACAUUUACUUUUCCCAUUUGCUUUCUUUAUAGUAGAGAUCCCCUUACAAGCAGUCUAUUAGACUUAGGUUUUAUAAACAACAUCUCUCUCUGCCUUCUCUUCCUGGGAUGAAAGAUGCUGAAUCCACACAUUACAUAUUUCCACACUUACUUGCAUUUGAUUGAUAUAAAUAAUUUCAGAACUGUGUCUUAUUUUUUUUUUACCAUCAAAAGCCUCUGUUUUUGUGCGGUUCACUGUGAACACCUGGUGUCCGGGCAACAGUCACUGUGUCACACCCGCAAGUAGCAUUACUGUGUAACAGUCAGUGAAGUAUUGUUGCUUUCCCUUCCAAAAUAAAUUAGUAUUUUAAAUCAUUUGUAUUCUCUAUAAAAAAAAAAAUCCAUGUUUGCUAUAUUUGGUAUUUUUCCAGUUUGUUUGUUGUUUUAGCCCCACAGUGCUUCUACAGCUGUUUCUUUGUGUUGUGUGGUUUGUUCUGUACAAGGUCAUGUUUGUAGUGGUGUUGCCCUGUCAUGUUGACACCUGGUCUGUUCUCUCUAUGAUGCUGUGUUGUGACGUGUUUCCAUGGUGCGUAACCAGGGUGAUGGUGUUAUCUGAUGAUCUCUGACUGUAUCCUGUGCGUCCUGACUCCUGUCUCAACGAAGGGAGGCUAUGCAGUAUGUGUCUGAACAUCACAGAGGGGUUCAGUGGGAACGAAAGCUUGUCACAAUUGUAAUUAUUUUUAUAUCAGGUUUAUGUUUGAAGCCAGGAGGCCAGAUAAGUUUGCUUUGGUUAAGACAUACACAAACACACACACACACUAAUGAUGUCACAGCUCAUCCACAUUUGGAGAAGGAGAUUCCUAAACAUUGUAGAAUAUGAAUGAGUAGAGGAACAUCUGUGCCUAUACUUAGUCUGUUGCUGAUCCUCAACCAAUCAAGAGAAAUCAUCUGAAUCAAGAAGAAUAGGCCACUCCCACACUGAUCUGUGGUGUGUGGCAACAUUCAUGUUCUAACUGACAAUCAGCAGUGCUUUACUCCUAUAAUACGAGGUGAGGUGAUCAGUAGGAAUUGUUUUAUUCCUAUAAUACGAUCUGUAAUACGAGGUGAGGUGAUCAGUAGGAAUUGUUUUAUUCCUAUAAUACGAUCUGUAAUACGAUGUGAGAUGAACAUCAGCCCAAACAAUGAAAAUGAGUCUUGAGUAUUUCAACUGAGACAGAGGGAUACCCAGACCUUUUAGGCUACGUUUACACUGCCAGCCCAAUUCUGAUCUUUUGCCCAAUUAUUGGCAAAAGAGCUUAUCUGAUUGGUUAAAAGACCAAUUGGUGCCAAUAAUAUCUGAAUUGGGCUGCCUGUGUAAACGCAGCCAUAGAGACCGGAUGAGGAGACAAGUUUAGUAACAGACUGAUUUGUAGAUCAAUGUGCAGAGGAGAGCUUCAGGCAUUUUGACAGAAGCUCUGGUCUGACAGAGAGAUGCCUGGAUGGAUUCCUGUAAUUGUGUUCUGAUUAUGUUCACCGGUCCAGUAAGACAUUGUUACAGUAAUGUGGUCAAAUGCACAGGCAGAGUUGUGACAGUGACUCCAGUCCAGUAAGACAUUGUUAUAGUAAUGUGGUCAAAUGCACAGGCAGAGUUGUGACAGUGACUCCAGUCCAGUAAGACAUUGUUAUAGUAAUGUGGUCAAAUGCACAGGCAGAGUUGUGACAGUGACUCCAGUCCAGUAAGACAUUGUUACAGUAAUGUGGUAAAGUGACCCCAGUACAGUAGCUCAGUGCCUAUAAAUGUGAGGUAGUGCCUCGACUAUGAAUUCUUUAAUAAACUAUUUAGACUUGCUGUCUGAUUCUA